rnacentral:rRNA from 1 species
AUUGAACGCUGGCGGCAGGCUUAACACAUGCAAGUCGAGCGGUAACAGAUCUAGCUUGCUAGAUGCUGACGAGCGGCGGACGGGUGAGUAACGCGUAGAUAGCUGCCUAGUAGUGGGGGAUAGCCCGGGGAAACUCGGAUUAAUACCGCAUACGCUCUACGGAGGAAAGGGGGCUUCGGCUCUCGCUAUUAGAUGUGUCUGCGUGGGAUUAGCUAGUUGGUGAGGUAAAGGCUCACCAAGGCGACGAUCUCUAGCUGGUCUGAGAGGAUGAUCAGCCACACUGGGGACUGAGACACGGCCCAGACUCCUACGGGAGCAGCAGUGGGGAAUUGCACAAUGGGCGCAAGCCUGAUGCAGCCAUGCCGCGUGUGUGAAGAAGG